CAGCAGGCCGGUUGCUGGCGCGGAGUGACCAAUUUUUUUUUUAGAGGUUAUCGGUAGGAAAUUUAAAGCAUAUUCGGUAAUUUUCGGUAAAAACAACUUUUAUUCACUCACAAAAUUUAUUAAAUUCCAAUUUUAUUGUUGAACGGUGAAUACUUAGAAAAAUAUUUGAUUUUCGGUCAGAAAAAUUUAGUUUUAUUGUGCUCAAUUGUAAACCGAUAUUUGAUCGAAAAUCGAUAGAACUACAUAUGGUCACUCUGAAAAACUUGUACAAUCUAGCUUUUGGUUAGGUUAUUUAUUUAUUUAUUUAUUUAUGAGCGGAUGAAAUUAAAUAUGGUAAAAACCCAAUACCGCGCUGUAAAUAAACCAGUGACAGUUCGAACAUGCGACCUGGGAACUGUGGGUCGCUCCACACUCUUUGUGUCAGUUUCAAUUGGUGUUGUUUUCAUUUAUGGCGGUUUGUUUACAUUUCGUUGCGGUUAUCAUCAGUUCCCGUGGUUCGAUAUUCGGUCGAGCUUUCUUUUCGUCAACCUCAUCGUGACGAUCGUGGUGCUCGGUGGACUGUUGGCAACGAUCGAAAAGCAUCUGCCCACUGCCAUCCGGCAGACGUUUGCUGCCCUCUGGUCGGUGGCCGGAUUUGCCGUCAUGAUGUAGCCAGCGCGGGACUACGUAAUCGCCUUCCUCGAUACGUUGGCAACCAACAAGCGUAUGGUGCGCACCACGCCUACCGAGACGAUGGCAUGACGGCAUGCCAUGACGCUGAUCACGCUGCAGUGUUUGCGCCGGUUCCACAAGACCUGGUUCGUGCAGGUGUUCUCGAGCAAGCUGAAAAUCACCCACCAGUUGUACGUGGAACACUUUCACAACUAUCCGAAGCAAGCUCGUCAGGAAAACACUCGUCCCGUUCGUUCUGUGAGAUCGACGGUGAGGGUGCGGAUAAUAUCGUUCCGGUUGUUGGGCUUUUUUUAGGAUCGAAAAAAUGGUAUGGUUGGUGUCCGGCUUUUUUUAGGUUGCUGGUUCCCGGCUGAUGGGAUUCAGCUGGUUUUCCUGGAUCUUCUGUGAAUGCCUUGUUCCACGGACCGGUCGUCGAUGCACUCGAGGUGCACCGCAUUGACGAGCGGCAGUAGCAGGAUGCAAUCGGCGCGGCCGAGCUGGCAGCGAAGCCGGUUCUCGGUGAGCCAUUCACGCCGAAUGAGGGCGGUCAAGAGCCGGCUGCAUACGUUCGAUAUAUUCGCUACGCGCACGAUCAAACUGUGUAACGAUGCCGAGUGUGUCCGGCCAUCGCGACUAGGAAGUUAAGUUGCGUCGUCUAUUGUGACACCUUUUCAUCAACAACUGGCAUGACUAUCGGCGCACGGUCGGUGGCUCUAGCGAAGGGGAGGGUGCGUUCCAAUCGGCUGGCAGGACACAGAUCGGAUCGGUUAGGACAACGAUCGGCAUAGUACGGCUCGCGACCCGCAUGUGGCUAUUUGUUGACUAGUUGCCUCUUCAAGUGCAAAUCUACGAACAUGUUUAGAAGAUUUGGCUCUUUCGGUCGCAACGUUUGCGGAGUCGCUGGGGAUAUUGGAUUGUAAGGAAUGAAUAUACUGUCCGCAGGAACCAGAUGAUGACAUCACCAAGGAGCUAAUGCGCUAAAGCUUACCAGGAGGAGGCGAGAAUGGUUUGAUGUUUUUGGCACAGCUCCCACGUAUCAUCCAUACCACACCAAAUCAUUAUGGCGCAGCCGUGAAUAUGUACAACGUCAUCCUGCUCGGGUAGGAUGGUGACGGUCUCCCGCUCGGUAUAUCUUGACGGCAGUAUAACGCAA